rnacentral:rRNA from 1 species
AUUGAACGCUGGCGGCAUGCUUUACACAUGCAAGUCGAACGGUAACAGGCCUUCGGGUGCUGACGAGUGGCGAACGGGUGAGUAAUGCAUCGGAACGUACCCAGAGGUGGGGGAUAACGCAGCGAAAGCUGUGCUAAUACCGCAUGUGAUCUGAGGAUGAAAGCGGGGGACCGAGCAGCAAUGUUUGGCCUCGCGCCUUUGGAGCGGCCGAUGUCGGAUUAGCUAGUUGGUGGGGUAAAGGCCUACCAAGGCGACGAUCCGUAGCUGGUCUGAGGGGACGACCAGCCACACUGGGACUGAGACACGGCCCAGACUCCUACGGGAGGCAGCAGUGGGGAAUUUUGGACAAUGGGCGCAAGCCUGAUCCAGCAAUACCGCGUGCGGGAAGAAGGCCUUCGGGUUGUAAACCGCUUUUGGCAGGAACGAAACGGUGUCCGCUAAUACCGGGCGCUAAUGACGGUACCUGCAGAAUAAGCACCGGCUAACUACGUG